rnacentral:rRNA from 1 species
AGCGAACGCUGGCGGCAGGCCUAACACAUGCAAGUCGAGCGCCCCGCAAGGGGAGCGGCAGACGGGAGAGUAACACGUGGGAACGUGCCCUUUGGUUCGGAACAACCCAGGGAAACUUGGGCUAAUACCGGAUAAGCCCUCACGGGGAAAGAUUUAUCGCCGAAGGAUCGGCCCGCGUCUGAUCAGCUAGUUGGUGGGGUAACGGCCCACCAAGGCGACGAUCAGUAGCUGGUCUGAGAGGAUGAUCAGCCUCACUGGGACUGAGACACGGCCCAGACUCCUACGGGAGGCAGCAGUGGGGAAUAUUGGACAAUGGGCGCAAGCCUGAUCCAGCCAUGCCGCGUGGGUGAUGAAGGCCCUAGGGUUGUAAAGCCCUUUCGGCGGGGAAGAUAAUGACGGUACCCGCAGAAGAAGCCCCGGCUAACUUCGUGCCAGCCGCCGCCGUAAGAC